GUUCAUAUAGCUUAGUGGUAAGGAGUGUUUUUAAGAUGCCAAAGGAUAUGAGUUCAAACCCUAUUUCUAACA